ACGAACGCUGGCGGCGUGCUUAACACAUGCAAGUCGAACGGAAAGGCCCUGCUUGCAGGGUACUCGAGUGGCGAACGGGUGAGUAACACGUGGGUGAUCUGCCCUGCACUUCGGGAUAAGCCUGGGAAACUGGGUCUAAUACCGGAUAGGAGCCAUUUUUAGUGUGAUGGUUGGAAAGUUUUUUCGGUGUAGGAUGAGCUCGCGGCCUAUCAGCUUGUUGGUGGGGUAAUGGCCUACCAAGGCGGCGACGGGUAGCCGGCCUGAUAGGGUGGACGGCCACAUUGGGACUGAGAUACGGCCCAGACUCCUACGGGAGGCAGCAGUGGGGAAUAUUGCACAAUGGGCGCAAGCCUGAUGCAGCGACGCCGCGUGGGGGAUGACGGCCUUCGGGUUGUAAACUCCUUUCGCUAGGGACGAAGCUUUUUGUGACGGUACCUAGAUAAGAAGCACCGGCUAACUACGUG
rnacentral:rRNA from 1 species